rnacentral:rRNA from 1 species
CAGUCGCCGCGGGAACACGUAGGUGGCAAGCGUUGUCCGGAAUUAUUGGGCGUAAAGGGCUCGCAGGCGGUUUCUUAAGUCUGAUGUGAAAGCCCCCGGCUCAACCGGGGAGGGUCAUUGGAGACUGGGAAACUUGAGUGCAGAAGAGGAGAGUGGAAUUCCACGUGUAGCGGUGAAAUGCGUAGAGAUGUGGAGGAACACCAGUGGCGAAGGCGACUCUCUGGUCUGUAACUGACGCUGAGGAGCGAAAGCGUGGGGAGCGAACAGGAUUAGAUACCCCGGUAGUCCCUGUCUCUUAUAC